UUUGUUAUGUGUGCAUAUGCUCGGCAUACGAUUAGGCCAUCCGACUGUCACAGAGACUCCCAGGGCUAGGGAUCUCAACCCGCCAAUCGAAUCCAACACACUAACAUUGAAAGGGGACUUUACUACAAUUGCUCUACUCUACGAUAUACAAAAUAGGAGUCAUCAUACAGGGAUCUCGGUGGAUCGAUCCCACACUCGCCCACCCUACCUGGAUCCAGUAUUUCCAUUUCUUGCGUUUCUCUGAAUCCCCUUGAGCCACACGCUUCGAAUCACACACUUACUUCAUACCACCUUCCCCCCAAGCUAUACAAACUUAGCAACACAUAUUAGUAUCUACUGUUUACAAAAGAAUCAUUUUUAAUUUUAUUAAAAAAAAUAAGUUAGCUUUAAAUAUUUUCUUAAUUUUUUUCUCUACUAUUUUUUUUCUUACACUAAAAUUGACAAACUGUAUGGUAUAAAAAAAAACAAAUUAAGAAUAAUACCGGGCUUUCUUAAAUCUAUGGCUUUAAUUACUCGGUAGAAACCAAUAUAUUAUCCUUUGCCUUGCUUUUCCCGCGCAAUAUUCACGCGUCUAUACGAAAUUACUAGCCACCUAAAAGAGCUCUCUUAACCGGCCUAAUUGCCGCUAAAAUUCCACGGCCUAAACUAUCAGAUCGAAUCACAAGGACUCAAGAUAAUUUUACUGUAACACCUCCUAGCCUUUGAAAAUAAACGCGGUAUUUUUCCCUUACAAACUGAUUAUUACUUAAAUCCUAAGAACUAUAACCUAUCUUAUUACUAAAUCUUUAUACUGAAUAUUAUAUUUUUUUUCUCGAAAUUUAUGAUUAUUAACUCUUUUUUUCUUUUCUUUUAGUUCCAAAAAAGGAGACAGCAAAUUUUAUGGACGUCACAUAUAUAUAUAAAUAUAUCUAUCAAGGACAACACAACGUUUACGCUUCUUUCCGGAGGAAACAGAUUUUGAACGCCAGGCAAACCCUGAAAUGAAGCUGGACUUGUUGACUGGUCCUUUUACAAUGCCGGCGUUCUGGGCGGGAUCAAUAACAGGCACAGCAAAAAGCUCAAAGUUGCAGCUGGCCAGUUUACAAUUCAAAUCUCCACACCCUCAAUGUAACUUUUUUUGGCUUUUUUCUCCUGUGGACAACUUGCCACUACCUUGCGUUACCAAAAAGAAAAGGCAAUUUCCCGCCGUUGUGCUGACCAAAACCGGACAAUUUUCGGUGCUUCCAAAAAAGCUUGAUACACCACCGGAAUAUUCCUGUUGGAGCAACACACAUCACAUAUAACAACACAUUACUCAACAAACCACUGUUACAAACUACUUACACAAUAAAAAAAUCGCAACACACAAAUUAAA